GAGGGUAUAGCUCAGUGGAUGGAACAUGCUUAGCAUGCUUGAGGGCCUGGGUUCAAUCCCAGUAUCUCCA
rnacentral:tRNA from 1 species